rnacentral:rRNA from 1 species
AUUGAACGCUGGCGGCAGGCUUAACACAUGCAAGUCGAGCGGGGGAAGGUAGCUUGCUACCGGACCUAGCGGCGGACGGGUGAGUAAUGCUUAGGAAUCUGCCUAUUAGUGGGGGACAACAUCUCGAAAGGGAUGCUAAUACCGCAUACGUCCUACGGGAGAAAGCAGGGGAUCUUCGGACCUUGCGUUAAUAGAUGAGCCUAAGUCGGAUUAGCUAGUUGGUGGGGUAAAGGCCUACCAAGGCGACGAUCUGUAGCGGGUCUGAGAGGAUGAUCCGCCACACUGGGGCGGGGACACGGCCCAGACUCCUACGGGAGGCAGCAGUGGGGAAUAUUGGACAAUGGGGGGAACCCUGAUCCAGCCAUGCCGCGUGUGUGAAGAAGGCCUUAUGGUUGUAAAGCACUUUAAGCGAGGAGGAGGCUACUCUAGUUAAUACCUAGGGAUAGUGGACGUUACUCGCAGAAUAAGCACCGGCUAACUCUGUGCCAGCAGCCGCCGUAA